GAAGAGUUCACUAUGGAAGGGGGGAGCGCAAAAAAUGAAAGUGUCCCCACGGACAAUGUGACAGGUUAAGCCCUACAUAACUACACAAGACUUACAUAAGCAGUGCUGUCAUGACAGUCGCUGAUCGAAUGGGCUUGGUCCGUAGUGGGGGUGAUGAGGGAGAAAGUGGAGCACUUGCUGACACGCCCUGACCUGACAGUAUCCCAAUCCUGACCUUAUCCUGAACCAUUGUCUUUUGUUGGAGCCCUCCCCGCUUUCAUACCGGUAACAAGGGAUGAGUCUACU